rnacentral:piRNA from 1 species
UUGGGAGUCCUCAUGUGUAUUGAAUGC